GAGGGUAUAGCUCAGUGGUAGAGUGUGUGCUUAGCAUGCAUGAGGUCCUGAGUUCAAUACCCAGUACCUCUA
rnacentral:tRNA from 1 species